CAGGGAGUCACUGAGGGAUCCAUAAAUGAGGCUUUUAUACUAUUGGAUAAUAAAGAUCACAGAGGUGUAGAACUCAUUGGCCCAUUAGGUGUAACAGUAUGAGGGGCCCUGGUGUAGAACUCAUUGGCCCAUUAGGUGUAACAGUAUGAGGGGCCCUGGUGUAGAACUCAUUGGCCCAUUAGGUGUAACAGUAUGAGGGGCCCAUUAGGUGUAACAGUAUGAGGGGCCCAUUAGGUGUAACAGUAUGAGGGGCCCAUUAGGUGUAACAGUAUGAGGGGCCCUGGUGUAGAACUCAUUGGCCCAUUAGGUGUAACAGUAUGAGGGGCCCUGGUGUAGAACUCAUUGGCCCAUUAGGUGUAGAACUCAUUGGCCCAUUAGGUGUAGAACUCAUUGGCCCAUUAGGUGUAGAACUCAUUGGCCCAUUAGGUGUAGAACUCAUUGGCCCAUUAGGUGUAGAACUCAUUGGCCCAUUAGGUGUAACAGUAUGAGGGGCCCUGGUGUAGAACUCAUUGGCCCAUUAGGUGUAACAGUAUGAGGGGCCCUGGUGUAGAACUCAUUGGCCCAUUAGGUGUAACAGUAUGAGGGGCCCUGGUGUAGAACUCAUUGGCCCAUUAGGCGUAACAGUAUGAGGGGCCCUGGUGUAGAACUCAUUGGCCCAUUAGGCGUAACAGUAUGAGGGGCCCUGGUGUAGAACUCAUUGGCCCAUUAGGUGUAGAACUCAUUGGCCCAUUAGGUGUAGAACUCAUUGGCCCAUUAGGUGUAGAACUCAUUGGCCCAUUAGGUGUAGAACUCAUUGGCCCAUUAGGUGUAACAGUAUGAGGGCCCAUUAGGUGUAGAACUCAUUGGCCCAUUAGGUGUAACAGUAUGAGGGCCCAUUAGGUGUAGA